ACUCCUACUGCCGGGAGCAGUAGGGAAUCUUCCGCAAUGGACGAAAGUCUGACGGAGCAACGCCGCGUGAGCGAAGAAGGCCUUCGGGUCGUAAAGCUCUGUUGUAAGGGAAGAACAAGCAUCGGUUAACUGCCGGUGCCCUGACGGUACCUUACCAGAAAGCCACGGCUAACUACGUGCCAGCAGCCGCGGUAAUACGUAGGUGGCAAGCGUUGUCCGGAAUUAUUGGGCGUAAAGCGCGCGCAGGCGGUCCUUUAAGUCUGAUGUGAAAGCCCACGGCUCAACCGUGGAGGGUCAUUGGAAACUGGGGGACUUGAGUGCAGAAGAGGAAAGCGGAAUUCCACGUGUAGCGGUGAAAUGCGUAGAGAUGUGGAGGAACACCAGUGGCGAAGGCGGCUUUCUGGUCUGUAACUGACGCUGAGGCGCGAAAGCGUGGGGAGCAAACAGGAUUAGAUACCCUGGUAGUCCACGCCGUAAACGAUGAGUGCUAAGUGUUAGGGGGUUUCCGCCCCUUAGUGCUGCAGCUAACGCAUUAAGCACUCCGCCUGGGAGUCGCCACA
rnacentral:rRNA from 1 species